CCUCCCCAGGGCCCCCAUUCCAGCGCGGCUCCUCCCUGUACCGCAGCGCCCAGGGCCCCCCCCCGGAGGACUGGAGGCCCCAGCUCCUGAAGUCCUGCUCCGUGGCCCCCGGCUGGCAGCCCUGGACCCCGCUGCCCAAGCGAGGGGCCCCCGCCCUGGACCCCGACGAGGGGCCGGGCCCCUUCGGCACCCUGACGGUCGGGCCCUCCCUCUCCUCCUCCUCCAACUCCUCCUCCUCCUCCUCCUCCAACUCCCUCUCCGCCGCCCCGCCCCCCCCCGGCCCGGCCGAUGCCCCCCCGGCCCCGCCCGAGGGGGGGGUCCUCUCCCGGGCGUGGUCCAGCGGGCGGCGCCGCCACCGCUCCCAGCCCUCCGCCGGCCACGCCUUCCCCUUCAGCCUGGACGAGGACGGCAUCCGCACCACCGACGUCUAGACACGACGUCUGCCCCGCGCGGCAGGACUGUCUGCCCCGCGGAGGGUCUAUCUGCCCCCGAGCGUGACUAUCUGCCCCCGAGCGUGACUAUCUAGCUGCCCCACGCUACAGGACUAUCUGCCCCAGGGCGUGACUAUCUGCCCCAGGGCGUGCGGACUGCAGGACCCUCGCACUUUUGCUGUUAAUAAUAUCUUUGUGUUUUUGCGUGGAUGAAUGUGGCUUCUUCUUCUCUUUUCCUUUUAAGAAUACGCCCCGAUGUAGCGCUGACACUGUGACGUCAGCCUUAGUACCAGGCCCCACUGUGGCCCCCUGCUGGGGCCAGGGGCCAACUGCAUGUCUUUUCUUCUCUUUUCUGGGGAGUUUUGUGAGAGGAAAUAUCAAGGAGAUGUACGACGGAACUUUCCUCUUUCGUUUGCAGGACUGUGAAAGGGUGAGAUGUUGUCUGUUUCUACACACCUUCGAGGGAUACUUGAAUGACAUUGAUCAUGAUUAAGAAGGUUUGCCAUAAGAGAUUUACAUAGAAUUGUAAUUCCCUAGUUUUGGUGUGUGUGUGUGUGUGUGUGUGUGUGUGUGUGUGUGUGUGUGUGUGUGUGUGUGUGUGUGUGUGUGUGUGUGUGUGUGUGUGUGUGUGUGUGUGUGUGUGUGUGUGUGUGUGUGCACCCCUUUUUUUUACCUUAACUGAGGUGAGGCGAUGCUAUUAGAAACUAAAGCCUCACCAGGUUACUGAUUUGUUAGAGAAUUGGAGCAUCAAACAGGUCCCGGAUCAGUCCUUAAGGUACGGCCUGAGCCUAAAAGACUCGUCUGCCUCUGCGUGGUUCUCUACCCCCACGUUGCACGAGAGCUCGUUCUGCACGUGAGAUGUUUUGGUUUGCCUGGUUGUCAUGGAGACCGGUGUGACGACACUGACCACGGACGCUCCGAGCUUCUAAACCACCGCAGCAGAAUUUAUUGGUACUUUUAUUUGUAUUUUUGUAUCAGCACCCGAUAAUGUCGGAGAAAAGACCAAGGAAUUAUAAUCAGGGACGAACAAUGAAAAGCAUUCAUAAAAACACAUUUAGAGAGGAGAGGGAGAGGGUGUAGGCCUACUACACUCUCAUCAGAGUAGUAGAGUAUCAUUAUAAAGUCUCAACAGAAUAGUAAAGUCUCUUCAGAGUAGGCGACUACAGUCUCAUCGGAGUACCACUAGUACUUCAGUGUUAGAGGGCUUCACCACGUUGGAUGUUUAAAUAUAGCUGGAUAUAUGAAGUAUCCACACCGAGAGGCAGCCUCCAACCCGUGGUUCUGCCUCAGAGAGACGUCUCUCAUGGUAAACGUUGCGGUUCAGCACUUCCCCGCUGCGUCAUUCUUUCGUUUUUAAAGUAGGCCUACAUCAGCGUUCUGCAAUCUUAAAACUCUGAACGGUACGCCUUACAUUUUAAAACUUAAAUGUUGUGUCAUGUUACAUGUUUUGAUUUUUUUUUAAAGGGCACUCACAAUACCGUGAGUAUUAAAUUGUACUUUUAAGUCGUGUUUUUGACUUUUGCUUCUUGCGAGAGGUUUUAAAUGAAUGGCAUGAGUUAUUUUCAUGAAACGUCUUGUUUAAACAGAAGAAUCAUGACAUCUAGUGGC
ensembl:lncRNA